rnacentral:rRNA from 1 species
UACGUAGGGGGCAAGCGUUGUCCGGAUUUAUUGGGCGUAAAGAGCGUGUAGGCGGCCAGAUAGGUCAGCUGUGAAAACUCGAGGCUCAACCUCGAGACGCCGGUUGAAACCAUCUGGCUAGAGUCCGGAAGAGGAGAGUGGAAUUCCUGGUGUAGCGGUGAAAUGCGCAGAUAUCAGGAAGAACACCCGUGGCUAAGGCGGCUCUCUAGUACGGUACUGACGCUGAGGCACGAAAGCGUGGGGAUCAAACAGG